rnacentral:rRNA from 1 species
UCCGUAGGUGAACCUGCGGAAGGAUCAUUACUGAGUUCGUGCCCUAACGGGUAGAUCUCCACCCUUGAAUAUAAACUCUUGUUGCUUUGGCGGGCCGCUUAGGCUACUGGCUUCGGCUGGUGAGUGCCCGCCAGAGAACCCUAAACUUUGAAUUACAGUAUUGUCUGAGUACUAUAUAAUAGUUAAAACUUUCAACAACGGAUCUCUUGGUUCUGGCAUCGAUGAAGAACGCAGCGAAAUGCGAUAAGUAAUGUGAAUUGCAGAAUUCAGUGAAUCAUCGAAUCUUUGAACGCACAUUGCGCCCUAUGGUAUUCCGUAGGGCAUGCCUGUCUGAGCGUCAGCUCGUCUUCUCAAGCUCUUUUGCUUGGAUAACCUUAAGGAAGCAUGUUCGCUGCAACUUGCUCCUUAGAAAUUCAUAGGCGGUACGGUUCUAGCAAACCAGACGUAAUAAUACUCUUAUAUGUCGUCCUUUGUAUAGUGCUGUUGCUUGCCUCUUUAAUCCACAUCUUUAUUCAAGAUGACCUCAGAUCAGGUAGGGGAUACCCGGCUGGAACUUAAGGCAUAUCAAUAAGGCGGGAGGGAAGUCGACUGGCCAAGGGGGCACACAGGGGGGGGAUA